GGAUAGGGAUGCCAAUGGCGGAGGAAGAAGUCGGAGUUCGACCUCGAGCUCGAUUUCGAGUACCGAGUCUAGCUUGUUUCUUUCUCGGAGCCAAACUUAUGCUCUGUUGAAGCAGCAAAUGGAAGUGGCGGCAAAAUCUGAGGACUAUGAAGAGGCGGCGAGGAUUCGUGACUUGUUGAAGUUAUUCGAAGAAGAGGAGCCGGUUUUGCGACUAAGAAGGUUGAUUAAGGAGGCAGUUGCAGAUGAAAGGUUCAAGGAUGCAGCUAACUAUCGCGAAGAGCUGAGAGAAAUUGCGCCCCACUCUCUUUUGAAAUGCUCAAGUGAUGCAACAAGCUUGG